GACGAACGCUGGCGGCGUGCUUAAAAACAUGCAAGUCGAACGGACUUCUCAUGAAGCUUGCGAUUGAGAAGUUAGUGGCGGACGGGUGAGUAACGCGUGGGCAACCUGCCCCUGAGCCCGGGAUAACAGUUCGAAAGGACUGCUAAGACCGGAUAUACUUGCGGUGAAGCAUUUCACUGCAAGGAAAGGGAACGCUCAGGGAUGGGCCCGCGUCCCAUUAGCUAGUUGGUGAGGUAACGGCCCACCAAGGCGACGAUGGGUAGCCGGCCUGAGAGGGUGAACGGCCACACUGGGACUGAGACACGGCCCAGACUCCUACGGGAGGCAGCAGUUGGGAAUCUUCGGCAAUGGGCGCAAGCCUGACCGAGCAACGCCGCGUGAGUGAUGAAGGUUUUCGGAUUGUAAAGCUCUGUCUUCCGGGACGAUAAUGACGGUACCGGAGGAGGAAGCCACGGCUAACUACGUGCCAGCAGCCGCGGUAAGAGUGUGUGUA
rnacentral:rRNA from 1 species